rnacentral:rRNA from 1 species
GUAGGGAAUCUUCGGCAAUGGACGAAAGUCUGACCGAGCAACGCCGCGUGAGUGAAGAGGGUUUUCGGAUCGCAAAACUCUGUUGGUAGAGAAGAACGUUGGUGAGAGUGGAAAGCUCAUCAAGUGACGGUAACUACCCAGAAAGGGACGGCUAACUACGUGCCAGCAGCCGCGGUAAUACGUAGGUCCCGAGCGUUGUCCGGAUUUAUUGGGCGUAAAGCGAGCGCAGGUGGUUUAUUAAGUCUGGUGUAAAAGGCAGUGGCUCAACCAUUGUAUGCAUUGGAAACUGGUAGACUUGAGUGCAGGAGAGGAGAGUGGAACUCCAUGUGUAGCGGUGGAAUGCGUAGAUAUAUGGAGGAACACCGGUGGCGAAAGCGGCUCUCUGGCCUGUAACUGACACUGAGGCUCGAAAGCGUGGGGAGCAAACAGGAUUAGAAACCCUGGUAGUCC